UGGAAAUUACGUGUUAAUAUUGUAGAAUAAAUUUUAUUUGCGAUAUCAGACUCUUACAAACAUACAACAAUGUUGGGCCAAUGAUGUUCCAACAUUCUAAAGUAUUACCCAGCUAUGAAACCAUUCAUGUGUCGCAAAGAGAACAUUGAUAGUGGGCAGCAAAACGUAUUAAGAGUUACCUCCCUUGAUAAUGCGAAGGAGCCGUCUGGCAUAAGGGCUAUUCACUGUACAUCAAUAAAGGAGGUUCCAGCCUGCGUCCCUGAGACAAGGGCAGAUCCGGACUAUCGUGAAGUUCUCACUCUACGCCCAUUGAAAAUAAAUCCCUUCUGACCCAA
rnacentral:lncRNA from 1 species